rnacentral:misc_RNA from 1 species
CGAUUACAAGCAGUUGGAGGGGAGGUAGGAGAUGAACUAAUUAUUCUUUUUCUUUUUCUUUUUCUUAGUCCAUAUAGUUGUAAUUUUUGCAUGAUACAACUCAUUUGGAAACAACUUAUUGUAUGAAUCUUUUGUGAGAUUAGCUGUUACUUUCACCUAUUUACCUGCCUGCUUAACCUCUAUUGAUCAUUUUGAGGUUGUUUCCGCGCAGUCUGUACAUACUUUUUCCAGAGUUAAUUUUUUUAAAGCUAAAUACUCUUGUUUUC